rnacentral:rRNA from 1 species
AUUGAACGCUGGCGGCAGGCCUAACACAUGCAAGUCGAGCGAGCGGCGGACGGGUGCGUACUGUCUGGGAAACUGCCUGAUGGCGGGGGAUAACUACUGGAAACGGUAGCUAAUACCGCAUACCAUCAGGUCUGCCCAGAUGGGAGUAGCUAGUAGGUGGGGUAAUGGCUCACCUAGGCAACGAUCCCUAGCUGGACUGAGAGGAUGACCCGCCACACUGGAACUGAGACACGGUCCAGACUCCUACGGGAGGCAGCAGUGGGGAAUAUUGCACAAUGGGCGCAAGCCUGAUGCAGCCAUGCCGCGUGUAUGAAGAAGGCCUUCGGGUUGUAAAGUACUUUCAGUGAGGAGGCGUUACUCGCAGAAGAAGCACCGGCUAACUCCGUGCCAGCAGCCGCGGUAAUUC